GUUAUACUUACAAUUAAAGGUGCAGUAAGUGAUUCUGCGCAAAGUUUGUUGAUAUUUGAACUCAACUGCCAAACAAAUA